UACGGAGGGUGCAAGCGUUAUCCGGAUUCACUGGGUUAAAGGGUGCGUAGGCGGAUAGGUAAGUCCGUGGUGAAAUCCUGCAGCUUAACUGCAGAACUGCCGUGGAUACUAUCUAUCUUGAAUGUCGUGGAGGUUAGCGGAAUAUGUCAUGUAGCGGUGAAAUGCUUAGAUAUGACAUAGAACACCGAUAGCGAAGGCAGCACUCUGGGACGUGACUGACGCUGAGACGCGAAAGCGUGGGGAGCAAACAGG
rnacentral:rRNA from 1 species